rnacentral:rRNA from 1 species
CAGUGGGGAAUCUUAGACAAUGGGGGCAACCCUGAUCUAGCCAUGCCGCGUGAGUGAUGAAGGCCUUAGGGUUGUAAAGCUCUUUCAGUGGGGAAGAUAAUGACGGUACCCACAGAAGAAGCCCCGGCUAACUCCGUGCCAGCAGCCGCGGUAAUACGGAGGGGGCUAGCGUUAUUCGGAAUUACUGGGCGUAAAGCGCACGUAGGCGGAUUGGAAAGUUGGGGGUGAAAUCCCAGGGCUCAACCCUGGAACUGCCUUCAAAACUCCCAGUCUUGAGGUCGAGAGAGGUGAGUGGAAUUCCGAGUGUAGAGGUGAAAUUCGUAGAUAUUCGGAGGAACACCAGUGGCGAAGGCGGCUCACUGGCUCGAUACUGACGCUGAGGUGCGAAAGCGUGGGGAGCAAACAGGAUUAGA